UGUGUGUGUGUGUGUAUAUAUAUAUAUAUGCACUGUAUAUGUGUAUAUAUAUAAACAUAAACACACACACG